CUCGGCUCUCGCAUCGAUGAAGAACGUAGCGAAAUGCGAUACUUGGUGUGAAUUGCAGAAUCCCGUGUUCCAUCAAUUCCCGUGAACCAUCGAGUCUUUGAACGCAAGUUGCGCCCGAAGCCGUCAGGCCGAGGGCACGUCUGCCUGGGCGUCACGCAUCGCGUCGCCCCCCUUCCCGCGACC
rnacentral:rRNA from 1 species